rnacentral:tRNA from 1 species
AGUAAGAUGACUGAGGUUUAUAGGUAAUAAAUUGUAAAUUUAUUUAGGGAUUAUUUUCCUCUUACUA